GACGAACGCUGGCGGCGUGCUUAACACAUGCCAGUCGAACGGAAAGGCCCUGCUUUUGUGGGGUGCUCGAGUGGCGAACGGGUGAGUAACACGUGAGUAACCUGCCCUUGACUUUGGGAUAACUUCAGGAAACUGGGGCUAAUACCGGAUAGGAGCUCCUGCUGCAUGGUGGGGGUUGGAAAGUUUCGGCGGUUGGGGAUGGACUCGCGGCUUAUCAGCUUGUUGGUGGGGUAGUGGCUUACCAAGGCUUUGACGGGUAGCCGGCCUGAGAGGGUGACCGGCCACAUAGGGACUGAGUUACGGCCCAGACACCAACGGGAGGCAGCAGUGGGGAAUAUUGCACAAUGGCGGAAGCCUGAUGCAGCAACGCCGCGUGCGGGAUGACGGCCUUCGGGUUGUAAACCGCUUUCGCCUGUGACGAAGCGUGAGUGACGGUAAUGGGUAAAGAAGCACCGGCUAACUACGUG
rnacentral:rRNA from 1 species